UGGACGUACCUCUGGUGUACCAGUUGUUCUGCCAAGGGCAUGGCUGGGUAGCUAUGUACGGAAUGGAUAAGCGCUGAAAGCAUCUAAGCGCGAAGCCAACUUCAAGAUAAGAUUUCCCACCGCAAGGGUAAGACCCCAGAAAGACUAUCUGGUUGAUAGGUCGAAGGUGUAAGUGCAGCAAUGUAUUUAGCUUAUCGAUACUAAUAGGUCGAGGACUUGACCAAU
rnacentral:rRNA from 1 species